GGCGAGUGAAGCGGCAACAGCUCAAAUUUGAAAUCUGGCGCCCCUGGGCGUCCGAGUUGUAAUUUGCAGAGGAUGCUUCGGGAUCGGCGCUGCCCCAGGUUCUUUGGAACAGGACGCCAUAGAGGGUGAGAGCCCCGUCUCUGGGCGGCAGCCGAAACCGUGUGAAGCGCCUUCGACGAGUCGAGUUGUUUGGGAAUGCAGCUCAAAACGGGAGGUAAAUUUCUUCCAAGGCUAAAUACAGGCCGGAGACCGAUAGCGCACAAGUAGAGUGAUCGAAAGAUGAAAAGUACUUUGGAAAGAGAGUCAAACAGCGCGUGAAAUUGUUGAAAGGGAAGCGCUUGCAGUCAGACUUGGCCGCCCGGUUCGGCGGGGCCUCGCGCCCCGUCUCCGCCGUGGCGGUCAGGCCAGCAUUGGUUCGGGCGACCGGAGAAAGGCUGCGGGAAUGUGGCUCCUCUCGGGGAGUGUUAUAGCCCGCGGCAGAAUACGGCCAGCCCGGACCAAGGAACGCGCUUCGGCUCGGAUGCUGGCGUAAUGGCUGCAAGCGGCCCGUCUUGAAACACGGACCAAGGAGUCUAACAUCUGUGCGAGUGUUUGGGUGUCAAGCCCUUACGCGCAAUGAAAGUGAACGGAGGUGGGAGCCCUCGGGCGCACCAUCGACCGAUCCUGAUGUCUUCGGAAGGAUUUGAGUAAGAGCACAGCUGUUGGGACCCGAAAGAUGGUGAACUAUGCCUAAGCAGGGUGAAGCCAGAGGAAACUCUGGUGGAGGCUCGCAGCGGUUCUGACGUGCAAAUCGAUCGUCAAAUUUGGGUAUAGGGGCGAAAGACUA
rnacentral:rRNA from 1 species